GUUCCUAUCCGUACAAAUCUCUGAACUUUACAAUCAGAUAAAUUUAUAGUGUCCUCUCUACUUUCACCCAAUUUAGAUAGCACUCGAAACAUAUGCACACUUUUGAUACAAACUUUUUGGUUGUCAAAAUCCGAGAAAUGCUACUGUUGAACCCUGACAUAAUAUAAAUAGAGAAUUCAACAAAUAUACUUCAGUUGCAUGUCAAAUAGAUAACAUUGAUAAUAUUUUUCUUGAAUUUUCUGAGAAGCCAAAUACAAAUUAGAGAAUUCCUUUGCCCUGUCCCAGCACUAAUACCAUCAAGAAUAUGAGACUGUGCUAUAUGUUCUUAUCUAGUUUCUCUAAUGACCAUGUCCGUAAACAAAGCAAAUUAAAAGGCAACUGAGGCCAGAUAUUCCAAUAAAUAAUUUCUAAAGCACCAAAAUUAUUGGCUGACUAGAAGUUAAAAUACUCCUACAUUCUACCUGCUGGCAUCUUGAACAAAUUCUUUUAUCGAACGACUCUAAAGAGAAGCAAAUUUGACAUAUGAACUAAUAUGAUGAUUGGAAGUACAAU
rnacentral:lncRNA from 1 species